CAAAAGCCUGGGCAGGGAAUGCAGCCUGGCCCAUCUCUGCAGAGAGGGGAAACGUACCCACUUCCCUCAGCCAUUGCCAAGAGGCCCAUACUUCAGGGCCACUUCCCUCUGGCGCAUGGCUAGUUGCGUCUGCACUGGUGUUGGUGGGUGUUUGAACUCCUGCCCUCUUCCUAUAAGGAGACUCCGGACCUAAAUCUCCUAUCCUCUGCUGUUGGCAAUCUCUUUAUCAGUGACUCGCAGCCUCAAACUUUUCUAUCACGAAAGGAAAAACCAGUGAAGAGAGCCCAGUGCCAGGCCUAUCUGCCUUCAGUGGCUGGCUCCUGUUCCCUCCUCAGGGCUCCCUGUUGUGCAACCUGGACCUGCCCCAAUAGUGGGAUUUAAGAACAAACAUCUGUGUAGACCCAUUUCCAGAAGAUACUGCACCAAAUGCUCUUUUGACCCCUGAACAUGCUGUAUCAGAUUUAACCCCAGCAAAACCCUAUAAGGCUUAGAUCAAGCAGAUUGGGGACAAAUGCUACAUAAAGGAUGUCUUCUCAGUGGCCCACACCAAGAGGUGCAUGAUGUUUCAAUUUGUGGGAAGAUUCUUUAAUAAGACCAUAGACAAUUUGUUCCUCUCAGACGUGCACAUGGCCGACUCCAGAACAGAUCACAAGGCUGCAUGCUCUGUGACACAGGGACACAGGUGUUCACAGGAUGUGUCCCACCCAUCCUUCCUUCCUCACCUUGCCAUGUCCUCCUGGCUUUUAGGGAACUGGGUCCCUCUCAUGUCCCUCCCCACCCAUUUUGGAGGCUCACCGAGAGUAGGCACUCUGCAAAUCCUUGCCAAAAC
ensembl:lncRNA